rnacentral:rRNA from 1 species
AACGAACGCUGGCGGCGUGGAUAAGACAUGCAAGUCGAACGGGACUAAAUCUGUAGCAAUACAGGUUUAGUUUAGUGGCGAACGGGUGCGUAACACGUGGGCAAUCUGCCGAGAAGUGGGGGAUAGCUCGCCGAAAGGCGAAUUAAUACCGCAUAUGAUCAGUGAAGACAUCUUCACGACAUCAAAGCCGGGGUAACCUGGCGCUUCUUGAUGAGCCCGCGGCCUAUCAGCUAGUUGGUGAGGUAACGGCUCACCAAGGCUAUGACGGGUAGCUGGUCUGAGAGGACGACCAGUCACACUGGAACUGAGACACGGUCCAGACACCUACGGGUGGCAGCAGUCGAGAAUUUUUCUCAAUGGGGCAACCCUGAAGGAGCGACGCCGCGUGGAGGAUGAAGGC